AUACUGCAAGUCGAACGCACAGCGAAAGGUGCUUGCACCUUUCAAGUGAGUGGCGAACGGGUGAGUAACACGUGGACAACCUGCCUCAAGGCUGGGGAUAACAUUUGGAAACAGAUGCUAAUACCGAAUAAAACUUAGUGUCGCAUGACACAAAGUUAAAAGGCGCUUUGGCGUCACCUAGAGAUGGAUCCGCGGUGCAUUAGUUAGUUGGUGGGGUAAAGGCCUACCAAGACAAUGAUGCAUAGCCGAGUUGAGAGACUGAUCGGCCACAUUGGGACUGAGACACGGCCCAAACUCCUACGGGAGGCUGCAGUAGGGAAUCUUCCACAAUGGGCGAAAGCCUGAUGGAGCAACGCCGCGUGUGUGAUGAAGGCUUUCGGGUCGUAAAGCACUGUUGUAUGGGAAGAACAGCUAGAAUAGGGAAUGAUUUUAGUUUGACGGUACCAUACCAGAAAGGGACGGCUAAAUACGUGCCAGCAGCCGCGGUAAUACGUAUGUCCCGAGCGUUAUCCGGAUUUAUUGGGCGUAAAGCGAGCGCAGACGGUUGAUUAAGUCUGAUGUGAAAGCCCGGAGCUCAACUCCGGAAUGGCAUUGGAAACUGGUUAACUUGAGUGCAGUAGAGGUAAGUGGAACUCCAUGUGUAGCGGUGGAAUGCGUAGAUAUAUGGAAGAACACCAGUGGCGAAGGCGGCUUACUGGACUGUAACUGACGUUGAGGCUCGAAAGUGUGGGUAGCAAACAGGAUUAGAUACCCUGGUAGUCCACACCGUAAACGAUGAACACUAGGUGUUAGGAGGUU
rnacentral:rRNA from 1 species